rnacentral:rRNA from 1 species
UUCUCUACGGGAGGCAGCAGUGAGGAAUAUUGGUCAAUGGGAGAGAUCCUGAACCAGCCAAGUCGCGUGAGGGAAGACUGCCCUAUGGGUUGUAAACCUCUUUUGUCAGGGAGCAACGCCGGCUACGUGUAGCCGGACUGAGAGUACCUGAAGAAAAAGCAUCGGCUAACUCCGUGCCAGCAGCCGCGGUAAUACGGAGGAUGCGAGCGUUAUCCGGAUUUAUUGGGUUUAAAGGGUGCGUAGGCGGAAUGCCAAGUCAGCGGUAAAAUCGCGGGGCUCAACCUCGCUCCGCCGUUGAAACUGGC